GCUGGCACCUUUGGUGUCCGCAUUGUAAACUCGAGAAGCAUUAUCCGCGCCGGACCAAGCUUUAAAUCCUUUGGAAUAAGGUACCUUAGAGGGUGAUAGUCCCUUUCAUAGUUUGGAACCCCCGGGGCUUUGUGAUUUGCUCUCCAAGAGUCGAGUUGUUUGGGAAUGCAGCUCAAAAUGGGUGGUAAAUGCCAUCUAAGGCUAAAUAUUGAGGAGAGACCGAUAGCGAACAAGUACCGUGAGGGAAAGAUGAAAAGAACUUUGGAAAGAGAGUUAAACAGUACGUGAAAUUGCCGGAAGGGAAGGGUAGGAAGUCAGACAUGCCUUUGCGGAUUCAGCUUGACCUUUUGAGGUUGUGUGUAUUUCCGUUUGGGCAGGCCAACAUCGAUUUUGGCUGUCGGAUAGGAAUGGAAGGAAUGUGGCACUCUUUUCGGAGGGUGUGUUAUAGCCUUCUAUUUGGUACGGCGGCUGGGAUCGAGGAACGCAGUGCACCCUUUUUUGGGCGGGCCUUCGGGCACCUUUGCACAUAGGAUGUUGGCUUAAUGGAUCUCUGCCACCCGUCUU
rnacentral:rRNA from 1 species